AUUUGACAAGUAUGGAGCUUUCAGGAUCUUUGUCUCCUUUUGUUGCCAAUAUGACAGCUCUGACUAAUAUGCACUUGGAAAACAAUCAAUUCGACGAAGAGAUUCCUUCAUCCCUAGGGAACAUAAGCACUUUGCAUGAAGUGUAAGCUCUGUCCUCUUUAUACAAGAGAAUACAAUUAAACUGAUUUUUCAUGUUGUUUCUUGAAUCUUGAGUAGAUAUUUAAGUCAACCCUGUAGAACUAUGUUGUUUACAUGAGUGUGGCCCAAAAAUAGUACAAUUUAUUUGAAUUUCUUUUGUCGAUAAAUUUCAUUGGAUCAAGACUUUGUAAGCUAUUGUGUAUUUGUGUUUGUCAAUUUCAAUUUUAUGACUUUUUGAAAUAGUAUGCCAGUAUUUUUUUUGAAUUGAUUGAAAAACCGAACAAAUCGAACCAAACCAAACCGAUUUUAAUUGGUUUGGUUUGGUUCGGAUGGACUUGAUAAAAAAACUGAACCAAAUCGAACCGCAGUUUAAUUAAACGAUUGAAUCGGAUGACUUUUCUCU